rnacentral:lncRNA from 1 species
CGCGGGCCACGUGACGCCUUCGCGGCCGUUGCGGCCGUUGGGCUCCUCAGGCGGCCUCGGGCCUGUGGUGGCGCGGCGAGGCGGCGAGGAGCGAGGUGACACAGGAUGUAUGAUCUUGAUGUAUUUCAUAUCAUGGCCAGGAAGUUCCAGUGUGCAAAAGGACCAAGAUGACAAACUACUUAUCAGUUGCCACUGGUCAUCCAAGCUGCAAUUGUUUCAGUAAACAGAAUGUUAUGUGCAUAUGUAAUGCCCUGUCUUUAUUGGGCAGGCUAUCCUUGUAAUUAGAGGACAUGAUAGAUUUCUGAAUAUUGGAUCUGUACGUUGUCACGGAGGAUUUUCUGUGAAUUUAUAGUGUCAUACUAAUGUAAGCCAUGAUGUGGGGAUCUACGAUGAAUUAUGUUUUGACUACUGUUUGUAAAUUGAUAACUCAGUUUUUCAAAACCAGUUUAUGCACUGAUCUGUUAUGCUAGAUAAGACUUACUCUUUUAUACUAAAUUAUCCAGAAGUUCCUUUUAUGUCUUUUGCAGUGAGUUUUAUGGCAGUUCAAUAAAUUAUGCAUAAAAAUGUCUGGCUUUUGUAUA